rnacentral:rRNA from 1 species
GACGAACGCUGGCGGCGUGCCUAACACAUGCAAGUCGAGCGGAGUCGAUCGACGGAAGCCUUCGGGCGGAAGAUGGUUGACUUAGCGGCGGAUGGGUGAGUAACGCGUGGGCAACCUGCCUCGAAGACCGGGAUAACAGCCCGAAAGGGCUGCUAAUACCGGAUGUGGUCAAGGAUCCGCAUGGAUUUUUGAUUAAAGGGGAAACCCGUUUCGAGAUGGGCCCGCGUCCUAUCAGCUAGUUGGUGAGGUAAAAGCUCACCAAGGCGACGACGGGUAGCCGGCCUGAGAGGGUGACCGGCCACACUGGAACUGAGACACGGUCCAGACUCCUACGGGGGGCAGCAGUGGGGAAUCUUCCACAAUGGGCGAAAGCCUGAUGGAGCGACGCCGCGUGAGCGAAGAAGGCCUCGGUUGUAAAGCUCUGUCUGAGGGACGAAGGAAGUGACGGUACCUCCGGAGGAAGCCACGGCUAACUACGUG